rnacentral:lncRNA from 1 species
AUGGCUUGUCUCCAGGUCCUCACCGGAAGCCGCUUGGGGGCAAAACAGUCAGGACUCUGGACUCUUGCUGCUCUCUCUGUGGUCUUGCGAAGUGGCCUGGGCGGAGGGACUCCUAGGGCUCUCAAGGCGCAUGUCCCGAGACGGACUGGGAGAACACUGUCUCCGGUUUGUGAGGUCACCUUAAAAGUAUCAAGCGUCACUUUCCCCACCGUAACAGGUCUCCCUGAUUCAGGUCCAAGAGCACAGUCCCUACCUCUUCAUGGAGAAGUCCGUGUCACACUGCAGGGGACAAGGGCGUGGGAUGUCCUGGCAUGGGCAUUGUGCUUCCCUCAGCUCCUGAGCGUUGUCUGGCCCAUACACUACUGCUUUGGGAGGAAGGGCUCCAAGAAGGACAGAACAGCUCCUGGUGGCCUCCAGCCACUGGCUUUCUAAGGAACCUUUGGCACUGAAAGCUCAGGAAGGUUCUCCAUCUUGUCACUUGGGAAGGCAGCCUUUCUGGGGUGAGUCCCUGGUCUCAGCCAGUGAUGGGCCAGUGGCUGGGUUGAGGAAGGGCACCAUCUACUGAUGUCCCACUCCACCCUCAUCUCCUACAGUGGGCUUAGAGCUUCUGGUUCAUCGCCCCAUGGGGGUGGGGGAGGAACCCGUGCACUCUUGGUCUUGACCCUUAAGCCAAGCCUCUACGUACCAGGACACAGGCAAAAUCCCAGCACACUGCCCAUCACCGGGCAGGCCACCGCAGUUCUGCAAGGCGAGGAAGCAACUCGAGUGGAGAAGAUUCUUUCCAAAAUGCAAGCUGCACUUUCCUGGCAAGUAUCUCCAUGAAAUUGAUUUAUUAAGGAGGACAAUCCCAUGGCACACUUCAUAGCACUCUGGCAGGGCCUUUGCCACAUUACUAUUUCCCCCACUUCCCUUUUCACAUGCUGAUGAGAAAUUUCAAUUUAACUCUCAAAGCAAGAAAGAUCAGUGUCAAUAGGCCUUGCUUUAUCAGGAGGCCUAGCUACAAGCAACAGAGAGCCCCAUGCAACUCGAUGAAGGCCUGAGAAACCAGCAGCCCCUCUUGGGGGCAGCUUCCAUUUGGGGUGGGGCUCAGAUCAGUUAAUCUAAAUGAUUCAGAUAUGUCUCCAAGGAUUCGAGUUACUCAUCAGCUGGAAAAAUAGUGAUACAUGCAGGGUGGCUGUGCUGAGCAGGAAGAACUACUCAUAAAAUUGUUCAUAAUGCAUGAUCCCGCUUAUAUGAAAUUCUGAAACAGGCCAAAUUAAUAUAUAGUGAUAGAAUUUAGAGUAUAUGCACAAGCCCCCAAAUGCAAUCCCAAGUACCACCAAAAAAAGGAAAAAAAAAUCAGAUUAGUUAUUGUCUGGGGCAAGGGACUGUGAGGGACUAUUGCAGAAGGGCAUAAAAGAAGUUUCUGCAGUGAUGAAAUUUUGUAUAAUCCUGAUGGGAUUCAGGCUACCCGGGUGAUUAAUCAAGCUCUUUUGGGUGGUACUAGAUUUGUGUGUUUCACUUACAUAAACUUUAUAUAGAAAAGGAUACAUAUAAAUAAAUAUUGUGUCCUGCUUAGUGAUUUGCUGAAAUGUUUAGAAAUGAAGUUCACCGAUGUCUGCAAGUUAUUUUAAAAGGCAUUAAAAAUCAGACCUAGUAAGACGGAUCGAUAUGUGAUAAAGCAAACAGGGCAAAACGUUCACCACUGUAGGAUUAACGUGUUACAUGUAUGAGGGUUCUCAGUACAAUUCUUUCAAGUUUUCUGGCCGCUUGAACAUUUCCACAGUAAAAAUAGGAACAUGAAGAAAGAUGAAGCCUAAUGAAAAUGAUACAUGUACCUACUUCAAGGUUGAAAUGACUUAAUAAAAUAUCAAGCUGCUUUGGGAUAGAAUUAUCUCAACUCACUAAGUUACCUCAUCUUAUUAAAGGACAAAUUGGGGAGUUACAGAUGUCAUCAAUUAAUUUUUUUAAUAAGAACAUUUUUAAGUGGGAGGUGUCCCUGAGCUGCUUGGCCAUCCCUGUGGAGGAGGUGUGCUCCCAAAUUAGGCUAAUUAAACCCAAGAAAAGAGCCAGCUUCACCAACUAUUUACACCUUUCUGCAACCUCUAGACCAGCAAGAACAUUUUAAUGAAUGCUUGGGAACCUGCCCUUUUCCAAGGCCAUCACCUUCCUAGGUUGAUACUUUCCAUGGAGAAUCUUCCCUCUGAAAAGAGAGAGUGAAAAAAAGAAAAAGCAAUGAUGCUGUUUGAGCCAUCCACUGAAGUUAAAUGGAGAUGAACCAGAAGUAUAUGAAUUAAAUUUCCCCUCCA